rnacentral:rRNA from 1 species
GACAGAGGUGCCGAGCGUUAGGCGGAAUCACUGGGCUUAAAGCGUGUGUAGGCGGAUGGGUAAGUACCUUGUGAAAUCCCACGGCUCAACCGUGGAACUGCUCGGUAUACUGCUCGUCUUGAGCUGUCUAGGGGCAACCGGAACAAACGGUGGAGCGGUGAAAUGCGUAGAUAUCGGGAGGAACACCUGUGGCGAAAGCGGCUCUCUGGGACCACAACUGACGCUGAGGCGCGAAAGCUAGGGGAGCAAACAGG